UGUGGAAGCUCUUUCUUCCCCAGCCCACUCUGUGCAUCACUUCCAUCUGUUCCCGAACUGUAUCCUUUAAUAAUAAACGGUGAAUCUAGUCGAAAAGGAACGGGGAUCAGUUUGCUGUUGUCAGGAUGCACUGUUGACUUCACAAGAGCAAACACAAGGAGUUUCCAUGAGGAUAGUCCCGUGUGGCACUCAGAUCCAGAGCUCCUAGCUUCCCAG